UCUUCACUUCCUACAGACAGAUCAUCAAUACAAGAAAUAAGGACUGUCAUUUAUGAGGAAGACACCUGUUAAUUUUCUGGAAACUGGUUGAAAAUGAAUCCUUACCUGGGAGAGGCAGAAACUUGCAAAGCUUCUGAAAUUCUGUGAGAGAUAGAAUGUGCAUCACUGCUAUAAAGAGACCAUUGGCUAAAGCAAAAUACACACAAGUUUUGAUGUCAAUGAAUUGGUGGAUUGCAUUCUACUGACGGGGAAAGUAAAAGGAUUCAAACAAAAGUAUCAUCAAAAUAACAGAGAAAUAAAUGGUACUUUGGGACUUGGAAAAAAGAGAACAAAAGAUCUCUGGGUUCCGGAGAUAAAAGAGAGCUGCAACUUGGUUCUAAGCAAUAUGAACAGGACAGAGACAAAAUCUUGGAAACAAAUUGCUUCAUGGAGAAUCUGGCCAGCAAAGAAUGAACGUGCCUGUUGCUCCACAUCUUUGCCAGCAAUUGAUGUUGCCAGUAUUCUGGAUUUGGGCUACUUUAACAGGAAAGUAGGUUAUCACAGAGUCAACAC